rnacentral:rRNA from 1 species
AUUGAACGCUGGCGGCAGGCCUAACACAUGCAAGUCGAGCGGAUGAAGGGAGCUUGCUCCUGGAUUCAGCGGCGGACGGGUGAGUAAUGCCUAGGAAUCUGCCUGGUAGUGGGGGAUAACGUCCGGAAACGGGCGCUAAUACCGCAUACGUCCUGAGGGAGAAAGUGGGGGAUCUUCGGACCUCACGCUAUCAGAUGAGCCUAGGUCGGAUUAGCUAGUUGGUGGGGUAAAGGCCUACCAAGGCGACGAUCCGUCACUGGUCUGAGAGGAUGAUCAGUCACACUGGAACUGAGACACGGUCCAGACUCCUACGGGAGGCAGCAGUGGGGAAUAUUGGACAAUGGGCGAAAGCCUGAUCCAGCCAUGCCGCGUGUGUGAAGAAGGUCUUCGGAUUGUAAAGCACUUUAAGUUGGGAGGAAGGGCAGUAAGUUAAUACCUUGCUGUUUUGACGUUACCAACAGAAUAAGCACCGGCUAACUUCGUG